ACCAAAACUAAAAAGAGAGACAGACACACAUUAAAUGAAGAAGAUGAAAGGGCUGUAGAAACAGAGGCCGGCAAAAAAAAAGGAAAAGAAGAAGAAAUGCGUAGCAGAGACAAAUACGGAGUAGAGGAGGAAAAACCGAGUUAGACGGCGCCCACAAGUUGAACUUGAGGAGUUCAGCUUUCUUGAGAAAUUUUUUUCUAUGACCCAACCGGAGGAAAGGACUUGGGCAAAAUUAGUUACACUUAAUACCAUCCAUUGGUAUUGUGAUGGACUUGAGCCAAUGCUAGCAGCCGUCAAAUACGAAGCAAAAAUCAGUAGAUAAAUGGACGACGCUAAGAGGAGAGCACUAAUUAGGUCGCAAGCUACCAAGAAAAAGGAGACCGGCGACGUGGCUCCUAAGGGGAUGGGCUCAAGCAACUUGUCCACAAAGAGGAAGCAACUGCUUAAAGAGGAUCGUCCUGCUAAGAAGCCCAAAGUCCCUUUGGAGCCCGUUGUAGGGCUAAUGGUUGAGGGUGCGAAGACGGUCACCCCAGUGAAGCACAGGGCUAGCAAAGGCCCUAUGAAGGCUUCGUCCACCAAUCAAGAGAAGCCACCUGUCCACCUCCACGAAGAUUCUAAACAUGCCUUGGAGCAGCUCUUGUCUAUCAUUUCGUCGGAGGAUUAUGAGGACUUGGGCAACCACUCCACAGAAGCCAUGGGGGAGACGGGUCUUUUUGCAAUCGCCUAGGCCAUGGUUGUGAUGAAAGGGCUGAUGGGACGCUGUCUUACCCAUAAGACAGCCCUGGAGCGUGUACGGGCAAAGGUAGAGCAGAUGGAGGAUGAUCUGAACCAACUACAAAGUUGGAAAUCCAAAAUGGAGAAAAAGUUCGAACUUUCGAAGAGGGUAAGAAAGAUCUUGAGCAGAGCAUGAAGGAGGCGAAGAAGGCCCUUGAGGGUAAGGACAAGAAGGUAUAGGACCUGAAGGAUAGGCUCCGUUUGGCUAAAGAGGUGGCGAUAUGGGAGUACCGUGACUCCGAAACCUUGCUGUCAAAGCUAGGAGACUCUUUCCUGCAGGGUUUUGACAAUGCCUUCCGUCAGGUUAAGAAGGCCUACCCCAACCUGGAUGUUUCAAACAUUAAAGUUGAGGACCAAGCUCAAACCUCCGCCAUGCCCGUCGCCUCAGAGGACACUUACAACCUUUUUGCUGAGAAUGCAACUCAAGGUGACAAAGAGUUAGCUCUGACCCAGAAUGCCCAAGGUCAAGUUCAAAUUGUAGGAGAUGACACCCGUUAGGAGAAGGAUGCAGACCCUCAGGAGUAGAUUUUUUUUUUUUUUUUUUUUGUAAGUUGGGAAAACAAUCCCUUAAUUUUAUUCGUCAUUAUGUUCAUGUUAAAAAAUUUCCCCUUCGAGGGUUUUAUAUUUCUAUCUGCCCAUUUUGAUUUAAUUGCUUGUUUCAUGGUUGCUAUGAAUGUAGUGGCUUGUUUCUCAUUUGACUCAUCC